GCCCCCAUCGUCUAGUGGCCUAGGACACCGCCCUUUCAAGGCGGCGACAGGGAUUCGAAUUCCCUUGGGGGCA
rnacentral:tRNA from 1 species